rnacentral:rRNA from 1 species
UCUACACAUGCAGUCGAACGGAUUUGAGGGGCUUGCUCCUCAGUUAGUGGCGCACGGGUGAGUAACGCGUAGAUAAUCUUGCCUGAUGGUCCGGGAUAACACUUCGAAAGAGGUGCUAAUACCGGAUAAGCCCACGGUAUCUUUGGAUUCUGCGGGAAAAGGGGGGGACCUUCGGGCCUUCUGUCAUCAGAUGAGUCUGCGUACCAUUAGCUAGUUGGUAGGGUAAUGGCCUACCAAGGCUACGAUGGUUAGCUGGUUUGAGAGAAUGAUCAGCCACACUGGAACUGAGACACGGUCCAGACUCCUACGGGAGGCAGCAGUGGGGAAUUUUGCGCAAUGGGCGAAAGCCUGACGCAGCAACGCCGCGUGAGUGAUGAAGGCUUUCGGGUCGUAAAGCUCUGUCGAGGGGAAAGAAAGUGUAUUGUGGCUAAUAUCCACGAUACUUGACGGUACCCCUAAA